AUUGAACGCUGGCGGCAGGCCUAACACAUGCAAGUCGAACGAGUGGCGGACGGGUGAGUAAUGUCUGGGAACCUGCCAGAUGGAGGGGGAUAACUACUGGAAACGGUAGCUAAUACCGCAUACUAUCGGAUGUGCCCAUAUGGGAUUAGCUAGUGGGUGGGGUAACGGCUCACCAAGGCGCCGAUCCCUAGCUGGGCUGAGAGGAUGACCAGCCACACUGGAACUGAGACACGGUCCAGACUCCUACGGGAGGCAGCAGUGGGGAAUAGUGCACAAUGGGCGCAAGCCUGAUGCAGCCAUGCCGCGUGUAUGAAGAAGGCCUUCGGGUUGGAAAGUACUUUCAGCGGGGAGGCGUUACCCGCAGAAGAAGCACCGGCUAACUCCGUGCCAGCAGCCGCGGUAAUUC
rnacentral:rRNA from 1 species